GGAGUUGACUGGAUAGUCGCUGCUUCGUUGAUGUCCUACGGUUAAUCCUGUGGAGACUGACGGAGGGGAGGAAAGUCCGGGCUCCAUAGAGCAGGGUGCCAGGUAACGCCUGGGGGGUGCAAGCCCACGACAAGUGCAGCAGAGAGAAAACCGCCGAUGGCUUCUUUUUUCGUUAGAGAAGAGACAGCACAGGUAAGGGUGAAAGGGUGCGGUAAGAGCGCACCGUGCGGCUGGCAACAGUUCGUAGCAAGGUAAACUCCACCCGGAGCAAGACCAAAUAGGCUUCCAUAUGGCGCUGCUCGCGUUUGGAAGCGGGUAGGUUGCUGGAGCCAGUGAGCGAUUGCUGGCCUAGAGGAAUGGCUAUCACCGCGAAAGCGGCACAGAACCCGGCUUAUAAGUCGACUCCCCAA
rnacentral:RNase_P_RNA from 1 species